rnacentral:rRNA from 1 species
GUAGGUGGCAAGCGUUGUCCGGGUAUUAUUGGGGCGUAAAGCGCGCGCAGGCGGUUCUUUAAGUCUGAUGUGAAAGCCCACGGGCUCAACCGUGGAGGGUCAUUGGAAACUGGAGAACUUGAGUACAGAAGAGGAAAGCGGAAUUCCACGUGUAGCGGUGAAAUGCGUAGAGAUGUGGAGGAACACCAGUGGCGAAGGCGGCUUUCUGGUCUGUAACUGACGCUGAGGCGCGAAAGCGUGGGGAGCAAACAGGAUUAGAUACCCUGGUAGUCCACGCCGUAAACGAUGAGUGCUAAGUGUUAGGGGGUUUCCGCCCCUUAGUGCUGCAGCUAACGCAUUAAGCACUCCGCCUGGGGAGUACGGCCGCAAAGGCUG